UUUAUUUGUUACAGGAAAUGAAUUGCUGUUGAAAUAGGAGCUGAAGCAUUUUUUUUGUCGUUUUUAGGUAUUUUCUAUUUUUAAAGUUUAGAGAGUCAGGAAUGAUGUUGAACUGUAUAUCAAAUAUUAUUAUUCUAUUGCCUUUAAAUUGAUGUUGCUAUUAUUUUGUUUUUAAGCUGUUGUGGAUCAGAAGUCACUUAGCCUUUUAAAUUGUUGUUAAAAGAAUAAUUUUGUUUACUUAAAUAUUUUGUUCGAUAUUUUGUAUAUGUUUUGCUUAUAAAAUAUAAACCGUGUAUUUUUAUAUUUUAUUUUAUU
rnacentral:lncRNA from 1 species